AUUGAACGCUGGCGGCAGGCUUAACACAUGCAAGUCGAGCGGGGUGAUGGUGCUUGCACUAUCACUUAGCGGCGGACGGGUGAGUAAUGCUUAGGAAUCUGCCUAUUAGUGGGGGACAACAUCUCGAAAGGGAUGCUAAUACCGCAUACGUCCUACGGGAGAAAGCAGGGGAUCACUUGUGACCUUGCGCUAAUAGAUGAGCCUAAGUCGGAUUAGCUAGUUGGUGGGGUAAAGGCCUACCAAGGCGACGAUCUGUAGCUGGUCUGAGAGGAUGAUCCGCCACACUGGGACUGAGACACGGCCCAGACUCCGACGGGAGGCAGCAGUGGGGAAUAUUGGACAAUGGGGGGAACCCUGAUCCAGCCAUGCCGCGUGUGUGAAGAAGGCCUUAUGGUUGUAAAGCACUUUAAGCGAGGAGGAGGCUCUUUUGGUUAAUACCCAAGAUGAGUGGACGUUACUCGCAGAAUAAGCACCGGCUAACUCUGUGCCAGCAGCCGCAGUAA
rnacentral:rRNA from 1 species